rnacentral:lncRNA from 1 species
GCUUCUGCUUGGAUUUGGGCAACCUUCCUUAUUUCGUCUUGAUCCUCCUCCAAUCUCCUCACUUUCCACCCAUACUCACUCGCCAAAUACAAAGGUUGGUCCUUUCCAUCUCCCCAUCUCCCAUUACCGUUUUCCUCUGCAUUUCCAUCAAUCAGCUUCACAGCCGCCUUAGCUGACGAUGAGGCCAAAGAAGAAGAAGAAGUAGUGCAGCACUGCACCACACGACCAUUGAAAAAUGUCCCUCUUGCCCUUCUCUUCCCAUCGAUUUUCCAGCUCCCAUGGCGAUGUUGAUCACCGAGUUUAACGCAUGCGUGCCUGUGCUGCUGCCGAGGCUCUGUCCACACACUACUCCUUGAAAUAAAAGACUGGCUCUGUAGUAAGUGAGCCAUACAUCACUCUGUUUCUCUGGAUGCGGAAAAAUCAUGGUGCAAUUGGACUUUGGGAGCUUGUCUUUACCACCACUCUCUCUCUCUCUCUCUCCCUCUCUCUCUCUCUCUCUCACACACACACAGACACUAAAUUAUUUACUAUAUCUGAAAAACAUGUGUUAGAAACUUUAAUUUUUUGCGGUCCAAAUCCAUUGUAUGAUGUUAGUAUUUAAUUUCCAAUCUUUAAUUUAUUUUUUUGGUGACAGAGAAUGGGCAGAGGAAACGAAUGCCAGAGGGGGAAAGAGGAGAAAACAGGGGAAAAACGUUUUUAGGUGAAGAUAAGACAGGGCAGAUACCCAAGUGGCUACAGUUACUCGUCAGGUUGGGAUCAUGAAUGAACAUCCGACGUGGCAACUUUUAAGCCUACCACGUGCUUGUACAAAACAAAUGUGUUCCCCAAAUUAUUUGCAGAUCCGGAUCCAAAAUAAAUGCUGUUUUGAAGAUAUACGCCUUUUUUUUCGUUAAAAAAUGUUUACUCC